GAAUGGCUGCCUUUUAGCUGGGUGUAGAUGGGGAAGGGUGAGUAGGCCAGGACCUGGAUCUUCUGGCAUUACUGUGACUUCUCCUGCUCACACUCUUCCCAACAUAGAGCCGUGGCUCCUCCUCCCAAGAGAAACCUCAGUUACUUUCCAGUUUAACAAAAAGUUGCAGAUGCUAUCAAGAUUCAUCCUAACUUCUCUGGGCAGACAACCUCACCAAUGUGCCCUGGAACCUCUCCUCUCCAGAGUCCUACCCAAUAAAGGAAAGAUAAAAACAGGCUGAGGGUAUGGGUCAACCUGCCAAAGACCAUGUCUGUUAGAGAAGCAAUUAUAGAAGCCAGAACUCCUACAUUCUGCAGCCUGAAAACCAAUUUUUAUUCAUACUCCAAGCUGGGGAAAAGUGAUAGGAAGAACAUUGGAAUUUCUGAAGUUUUGAGUAUGUUAAAUGUGUGUCUAUUACAAUGUUAAUGAAGGUAAACUGGAAAACAUCAAGGAUAAGGAGCUAGUUGCCAGGAAAACAGUGAACUUAGAGGAUAGGACUUUCAGUCCAGUCUCUAGGAAGGGGAAGAGGAUCUGGAGGCUAAGCCAAGCCCCUGUGCUCAAUGAGAAUCAAUCAUAUCAGAUAAACGAAGCCUCCACAAAAACCUGAAAGUUUGCAAGAGCUUCUGGAAAGACUCCAGGUUGGGAACACAUGGUAAUCUGGGGAAGACAGCGUCUGGGAGAGGGCAUGGAAGCUGGAUGCCUCUCCCCCACACAUUGUCCUAUGUACCUUUCACAUUUGGCUACUCCUGAGUUAUUUUACAGCCUUUGUUACCAAUCAAUGUUCUGAUGAGUAAA